AGAAGUCAUUGGAGGGAAAAUUCAGUGGUUUUUAGGUUAGAGAAGAGAAAGCAUGGUCGAGGCAUCUUAGUAGUUUGUGAAAGUACAUUUCUGGUCCAAUAAGACCAAUCAGAUUAAAUAAGAAAUACAUCAAGUUAAAGUGCACAACACAAAAAGUUGAGGAUGCAGCUAAAUGGACACACAAAAUUGGAAUAUAUAAUGGCAAUCAGAACAUCAAGUUUUAUUGAGAAUCAGGUAUUAUGGCCAGUGAUAAGAUUCGUCCAAUUUUUUCCAUGCAUGGUUUUAAUUUCAGUUAACUGAGGAACAUUUGUACAUAUAAAACAAAAAUUUACGUACACCUGAAGGAUAUUCGAUGAGAUAAAAAAAAUCAAAACUGAUCAAUAAUUGCCACAUGUUGAAAAAAGAAGAUUUUUUGUUUUAGAACAUAGCUCUGAUUUCGUCACUUCACAUAAUUUAUAAUAGGAUUCUAAUAAUUUCAUUGGAACUGUAUAUAAGUAUUGUUUAUUUUGAAUAUGUAUAAAAUCGUAAUAUACAAUUGGGUCAAUUUAAGGUUUAUAAC